UGAGUGAACCGAGCCAACAUC
rnacentral:miRNA from 1 species